UGCUAAAUAAAUUGACAAUCUUGUAAUUUAAAUUUAAAAAACAACAACAAUUUUGAUAAUAUUUGUAUAUGCAAGUUCGUCAGUAUAUAUACAACCUACUCUUGAUCUGUUGGUACGUUUAUUGUUGUUUGAGUGUUACAGAACGAGUGUGUUGAAGUGCAAAAAUGUAUAAAAUUUUGAUAAGUCUUGUUUUGUGUACCGCCCUUUGUACACUUGGAAUUACUUUUCCUUUCUCGGAGAGCAGUCAAAAUAACCACAUAUCGAAACCCAUCUUUGUUCUUGAACCACAUAUUUUGGCUGUGCCAUUGAGAAUCAGUACCGAAAAUAAACCUCAUCUUAUUAAGAAAAGAGCUGUGAAUGAUUUAGAUGCAAGUGCCGCAAGAUACAAUCCGGGAAGGAGAAUAAAAUAUAUCACAUUUACAGCAUAUCAAUCACCUUUCAAGAAUGGAGAUUACUUCCCCACAGUUGUUUAAAGACACAACAUAUUUAAAUACCACGGUAUAUUAAUAAGACUGAGCUACUCUUUUGUACAAAAUAUAUAUUUCUUUAUUUUAAUAUUAAUGCUCUACAAAAACAACUGAUGGAAAAUAAUACUCGCAUUUUAUGUAUUAUAAAUUAUAUUUUUUU